GACGAACGCUGGCGGCGUGCCUAAUACAUGCAAGUCGAGCGGAGCGGCUGACGGGUGAGUAAUGCCUAGGAAUCUGCCUGGUAGUGGGGGAUAACGUCCGGAAAAGGGCGCUAAUACCGCAUACUAUCAGAUGAGCCUAGGUCGGAUUAGCUAGUUGGUGGGGUAAAGGCCUACCAAGGCGACGAGCCGUAGCUGGUCUGAGAGGAUGAUCAGUCACACUGGAACUGAGACACGGUCCAGACUCCUACGGGAGGCAGCAGUGGGGAAUAUUGGACAAUGGGCGAAAGCCUGAUCCAGCCAUGCCGCGUGUGUGAAGAAGGUCUUCGGGUUGUAAAGCACUUUAAGUUGGGAGGCGUUACCAGCAGAAUAAGCACCGGCUAACUUCGUGCCAGCAGCCGCGGUAAUUC
rnacentral:rRNA from 1 species